AAAAGGAGAGACACGAAAGAUAAUAUUAGCAAGACAAUGCGACUAAGAUAUUGACUUGAAGAUAUCUUCAGAAUCUUACAUAUUAACAAAGUUCAUCUAAUUUUUGGCUUGAAGAUAUGGGAGUAUUAAUUGGCAAGGGUGGAUUCUAUGGAAAUGUCUUCAGAAUUACACCUCCACUAUGUUUCACUAAAGAAGAUGCAGAUUUUCUAGUGGAUGUCAUGGACUACGCACUGUCAAAGAUAUAAGAACUCUUCACUACAGCUUGGCUAUUACAUUUUCUCCUAUAUAUGAUGGUUAAGAUAUGUUAAUGUCAAAGUUAAAUUGAACUCAUAUACAGCUUUUAUGUUCUUAUGUCAGUAGCAAAUUAACAACCAAAUGUAUCUGUAUGGACUGAUUUAGUACGUACAGUAUCUAGUGAUCAUAUAAUGAGUCAACAACUCGUUGUCUCUCGAUAUCCUAUCUUCUUUAUCUUUCUACGCAAGCACACCAUCUUGUCACCUACAAUCAUAUCUCCUAUGACCCUCAAUUAUAUACCAAAAGAAAAGGAGAGACACGAAAGAUAAUAUUAGCAAGACAAUGCGACUAAGAUAUUGACUUAAAACCAACAUUAAUUAAUAUUUAAUUCUCAUGGUUUAUGAUUGAACAUAGGUUUAGUUCAAUGAACAUAGGUUUAUUGAACUCAAAGUGUUGUUGUCUGCUUUAUCUUUACAUAGUGACGAGUUAGCAAUUAGUUGCCUAAUAUCAUCAUCACCUAAAAGCGACAAUUUUGGAUGACAUGGCAGUCACAUCGCAUACAGUAGAUGUUGAGGUUUGACAAAUAUAUAAUGAUUUUUUGAUUCGUCGCUUAAUAUUUUAAAAUUUUAUUUUUACACCUAUAAAAUAUUUAUAAAUGACAAUGAUUUUCUAACAAUCAUAUUAUGUUUUCUUUUUAAUAUUUUAUUCUUUGUGAAUUUUGGAACUAAGACGGCGUUAUAAUUUUGAAAAAACUUUAAUUUGGUAUUUUUGAUAUUCAACUUCUUAACAAUUGUACUAAAAUUAAAUCUGAUAUGGUUCACACUUCACAUUUCCUUCUAUGAUUUUGAUUUUGAUAUUAUUUUGAUUCAAUUGGCUGAUUCGAUAAUUCAUUUUAAUUAUUAAAGUAAAGAAAUGGUACUACAUUGUUUUAAUACAUCUUUCAUGUUUCAUUGUCCUUUUAUUGAUUGCGAUAUUAUUAUACUUCUUUUCGUUAUGUCAAAACUUAUUGACUUACAUAAAAAUAAGGCAUACGAGAUGGUCUUUGUUUUAUUUAUUUCACAUACAAAAUACAUAUCUCCAAAAAAAAAAUACUUCCAUACAGUGUGAUGCAAUGGCAAGAUGACAUGAUCUACCUAAUUAUUUUUUGUUGCUUAUCAUGAAGUUCGUAUGUUCUAACUACUAAAUUAAAUUUAUGAAUUAACCCAAAUAUUAUACUCCAUUAUUUAUAGAGGAAAAGGGUGUUUUCUUUCUCGUUAAAAUUAAAAAGAGAUAAUAUCUAUAAGCAUACUAAUCUUUUUAUAAAUUUACUGUCAUUCUUUCAUGAUCGCGCGAAAUAUCCUCAAUAUGUAAUACUUAUUCGAUUUUCCUUUUCCUUCAACUUCAAUUCCCUUUUUGUUGCUUCUCGUCGUCGCAGUGUCAAAUUUUGAGCUUUGAAGGGCAUUGGGAGAUUUAAUGACUUCUCGGUCUUCGCAAUCAUUGACGACAGUUAUUGUGGAGGACUUUGCGAAUCACGAAGAUAAAGUGAGGAUUAAUGAUGGGGAUUCAGAUACUGCUCACAGUAGCUAUGUUGCUGACAAUGCAACGACGACGAUGACGACAAGUAUGGCUUAUUUGCCGCAGAAUAUAGUGUUUUGUGAGCUUCGGCAUGACCGGUUUGAGGAAUAUGUUCCUUCUGGACCGUCUCGUAGCGGUUUAAUCUCGAAGUGGCGGAUUAAGAAUCGAGUAAGAUGUGAUUCUUUUCAUUUACACAUCUUAGUGUUUGUCAAUUUUAUAGGAGUAGAAGAUAUUGUGUGAAUUUGGAAGCACAUUUUUAAUGAUUGAUGACGUUAGAUUAAAUGUUUAGGUACUUCCUUG